rnacentral:lncRNA from 10 species
UUUUCAUGCUGCUGACAAAGACAUAUAUCCAAGACUGGGAAGAAAAAGAGGUUUACUUGGACUUAUAGUUCCACAUGGCUGGGGAGGCCUCAGAAUCACAACGGGAGAUGAAAGGUCUAUCAAUGAGAAGAAAGUGCCAACUGAAAACUUUUAGAAAAUACCCAGUUUACUCAAGGAAAAUAACAUGCAUUGAAGGUGAUUGCUCAAUAGAGAGAAGUUGAAACAGCAGACUAAUUGCCUGUUUGUGACACCCAUGUAAUCAACUUGGUCUGUUCUAGAUUAACAUUGCUAUGGUUUGAAUAUGUCCCCUCCAAAAGUUAUGUUGAAACUUAAUACCCAUUGUGGCGGUAUUAAGAGGAGGGCCUUUGGGGAAGUGAUUACGUCAUGAGGGCUCUGCCCUCAUGAAUGGAUUAAAAUCCUCAUAGAAGAAGCUUCAGAGAGAGCUUUGUCAUUUUUGCCCUUUCACCUUUGGCCAUGUGAGGACGCAGCAAAGAAGCCCUCGUCAGAUACCGACUGCUGGUUCCUUGACCUUGGACUUUCCAGCCUCCAGAACUGUGAGAAAUAAAUUUUUGUGGUUUACAAAUUACCA